rnacentral:rRNA from 1 species
GAUGAACGCUGGCGGCGUGCUUAACACAUGCCAGUCGAACGAUGAAGCCCAGCUUGCUGGGUGGAUUAGUGGCGAACGGGUGAGUAACACGUGAGUAACCUGCCCUUGACUCUGGGAUAAGCCUGGGAAACUGGGUCUAAUACUGGAUAUGACUUCUCAUCGCAUGGUGGGGGGUGGAGAGAUUUAUUGGUCUUGGAUGGACUCGCGGCCUAUCAGCUUGUUGGUGAGGUAAUGGCUCACCAAGGCGACGACGGGUAGCCGGCCUGAGAGGGUGACCGGCCACACUGGGACUGAGACACGGCCCAGACUCCUACGGGAGGCAGCAGUGGGGAAUAUUGCACAAUGGGCGCAAGCCUGAUGCAGCGACGCCGCGUGAGGGAUGACGGCCUUCGGGUUGUAAACCUCUUUCAGUAGGGAAGAAGCGAGAGUGACGGUACCUGCAGAAGAAGCGCCGGCUAACUACGUG